AAAACACAGGUACUCCGCAAUAGCGAAGAAAGUGGGAGGGGCUUCCCCAUGCGAAGCUGCUGGCCACCCCUCACCACUAGUGCUGCCUCCCCCAUUUGGCAAGUGCAGCGGAGCCACUGCCCACGGGCCGUCGCAAAAAAGUUAAAAAUAAAUGUACAUUAGGAUUGAGAGUAGGUCAACUGGUCAAGUGCCAUUGCCUAUAGAAGACAAAAAGCUGCCCGAUUGAAGAUUUUUGCGUCCUAUGUCCCUCUGCUGAAUCUUGUACUAAACAGUAAAGACUCCUAUUUUAUGAUUAUUUCUCGUUCCUUAAAAAUAAUAAAGAAAAAAGAACACAACAUUCAACAGAUGGCAUCCAAGGGCACCUAAAUUCCUCUUAAAAAAAAUUAAGUACCCUAAAAUUCCUAAAUGGAUCUUUGGAUCUUGGAAAGAUAGAACCCUUUGAAGCAAAGCUUGACGAGCUGGUUGGUGGUUGCCUUGCUAAAAUAUCUCAGGGUCAUGAACCUUCAUAUAUUUACCUUAAUUUUUUUAGCUUGCAGAAUCUGUGGCUGGCUCUCCCUCGUACAUCAUAGCUCAAAAGCUAGAACUAAAAAUGCUAACUUUGAAUCUCACCCUAUCUUCUCCCGUCACUUUCUCCAAAUCCAUCCACCAUAAGUGCCCCAUAAAUGCUUCAUCCCCCCUGAAUCCAAAUAUUUCCGGCAGAGCUCAAAAUCAAACUACUCUCUUUAAUAAACCCACCUCUCAAAUUGGUUCAUUUGCCACUAAAGUCUCAAACUUUGGCGAAAUCCAUGGCUACCCGCUUGGCCUCUUUUCAAGAUUCACUUACCAGAUCUCUGAUUUCAACAGAGUUCAUGAGAAUCCAUCUGGGUUUUGCUCGAAAUCCAGAUCUUAUGUUGCUAAAGCAGCAGAAUCUGAAUCGGAAUCAAGCGCAGAAGGAGAAGCUAGUGCGGUUUCGAAGCCUAAAGAUAAAACUCUCCAGCUUGCACUUGUAUUUGGUCUUUGGUACUUCCAGAAUAUUGUCUUCAACAUUUACAACAAGAAAGCAUUGAAUGUGUUUCCUUUCCCAUGGUUUCUAGCUUCCUUCCAGCUUUUUGUUGGGUCUAUUUGGAUGCUCAUCCUAUGGUCAUUAAAGCUCCAGCCAUGCCCGAAGAUCUCAAAACCAUUCAUUAUUGCUCUUCUCGGACCUGCUUUGUUUCACACUAUAGGACACAUAUCAGCCUGUGUUUCAUUCUCUAAGGUUGCUGUUUCUUUCACUCAUGUCAUCAAAUCAUCAGAACCUGUUUUCUCUGUUAUAUUGUCUUCAAUUCUCGGUGAUACAUACCCUUUAAAAGUCUGGCUCUCCAUCCUCCCGAUCGUUCUUGGUUGUUCCCUUGCUGCCAUUACUGAAGUGUCGUUCAAUUUCGAAGGCUUGUGGGGUGCUUUGAUUAGCAAUGUUGGUUUUGUGUUCAGGAACAUUUACUCAAAAAAGAGUUUGCAGAGCUUCAAGGAAGUUAAUGGACUUAACUUGUAUGGUUGGAUUAGUAUACUCUCAUUAUUUUAUUUGUUUCCUGUUGCGGUUGUUGUUGAAGGGUCUCAAUGGAUUCAAGGAUACCAUAAGGCGAUUGAAGCUGUUGGCAAAUCAUCAACAUUUUAUAUAUGGGUGAUGCUAUCUGGUAUCUUUUAUCAUCUCUAUAACCAAUCUUCUUAUCAGGCGCUUGACGACAUUAGCCCCUUAACCUUUUCCGUUGGUAACACAAUGAAGAGAGUGGUGGUGAUUGUGUCUACUGUCUUGGCGUUUAGAAAUCCAGUUAGGCCUUUGAAUGCAGUUGGAUCAGCCAUUGCCAUAUUGGGGACUUUCCUAUACUCUCAGGCAUCUGCUAAGAAAGCCAACAAAACUGAAGGUGAAAAGAAGAGUUAGAUAGAUUUAGAUCGUCCAUUUAUAGAUCUUGAUGAUUUUGGGCUUGAUAUCUCUUGCAUUUCUCUUUGUUUACUUUGUGACAGUUGAGGAUAUUUCAUUGCUAUCUUAAUCUUAUAAUCCUUGCUUCUAUUUCCUGCAUUUUUUCAUGAUGUGUAGCCUCUUAAUGUUUAUUUUGUUUCCAAUUUUAUCAAUAUGCUUUGCAUACUUGCUUGGGAGGUUACUAUUAAUAAGUUUUUUUUAACUACCGUUAGAUUGACUGUAAUACUGUUGAUUUUAUGCUCCUUUGUGUUUUAGUGCCUCUGCAACAUGCUAAUUUAUGGGGUAUUGCAGCAUACUAAUUUAUGGGGUAUUGAUUAACCUAGUCUAAAAUUUAACUUCUAUACAGGCUAAUUUAUUGAUUGAGAAAGACUGUUUUCACAGCUAUUGCUGUAUGCUAUAUGAUGAAUGAAUGCCUUAUCUAACCUAAUAGUACUAAUGAGAAACCUACUUUCUGUUGAGAUUGAAUAAGAACAUGCCUCAGUUUUAAAUGCUUUGCCGAUAAAGCUUCUUGCCUUCAUCCUGUUCCAGCUGAUAUUCUGUUUCUUGAGUUGAGGCAAGUUACCAAGUACUGUUUGUUCAAGAAUAUGGGUCUAACAUUAAUAUUGUGAUUUGAUCACCAGGCUAAUUGUUCAAUACAUAUGAUUAGAUGAUCUUAUCUAUAAUGGCUUCCUGGUCUUGUUGCAAGUAGGAGUGUUCAAGUCUGGUUCGGUUCCGAGCUAAGAAUUCGAACCAAAUCAAACGUAGUUAAAUUUCCAGUUUUGGUUCGGUCUAGUUCUUAAUAUUUUCAUUCAGUUUCAGUUCUUGAAAAGAUUUUAUACAAUUUCUGCCAUGGAGAGUUGGAACUGAAUCACUAAGUAAGUUUUGAAGUUAGUUGUUAUUGGAAAUAUACCAAAACUUUUUAUAUUUUUCUGCCACAUUAUAUUUCCUAUUAAAUUAGUAUGAAAUAUAUCAAUUUUUUUUUUAACUUGAAUUGUAUUGUAUUAAUUUAAAAUAAUUUAUAACUAUUAAUUAAAACCUCGACUUGCAUUGCCAGUCAAAU
rnacentral:misc_RNA from 1 species